UGUAAUCAAAGUUGAUGCCUCUGGAAGCCUAUCCCGGGCAGUUGGGUUCAGGCAGGUGCCAGUGAGGAGGUCAGGCAGGAACCCAGGCUAGAGACAAUCCUUCACCAGAUGGGGGUGGUGAUGCAGCAUAGGAGACAGAGGCAGCCCACUCUGAGUUCAGGGCCUGGAGGCCAAACUUCCACUCCUUCUGUACAGCACAGUGUUGAUCCCUAGAGUUCUUUCUUAAUGUCAGAACCUAGUCCCACAUUUUCAGAGACGGCGCUUCUUGCCUUAACAACACACAAAGGUAUUCCAGGUCCUAAAACUAAGAGAUACUGUGAGCUUUUGUGACAUCUUGCCCAGGAAUGGGACGUCUUCCCUAGAGCUGUGGGGCUUUCUGUUGCAUGGAUUUGGGGCUCCUCAGUGUGUCUGAUGAACUUCUUUUAAAACAGUUUUCCACCAUCAUUUCUUCCAACACAGUAGGCAUAACCUUGACCAGGAAAAACCUCUCCAGUUUGAAAUUUUAAAUCAUCAGUAAACUAAAGUUGCAGAGGCAGAUUCAACCGGAAAUCAGUAGAAGCCCCUGCCUCUAAUGUUCUCCCCUUUGGAUUCAGAGAGACAAGUUAGGUAUUCUCUUUGGGCUUGCCUGCCAGGUGACUUUAUUUACACAUCCUUUAAACAAAUAUUUAUUGAAUGUCUGUCAUGUGCCAAUUAUGGGCACUGGGGAUGUAGCAGUGAACAAAACAAUCAACUCCCUGCCCUCACGGAGCCUAUAUUCCAGUAGAAGACAGACAACAAGCGGGUUUCAUCAGCCACCAGUGCCAGAACCAGACACUGCAUCCUCCACGCCUGUUUACAUGGCUCCCAGUGACUCAUGCCUGCCACCCAGAGGCUGUUCCUCUAAUUGCAGCCCACACCGUACCUCCAAGACUUCACUGUAUCUUCUGGGCACACACCACGGACUGAGCCUGCUGAGCAGCCGGGAAGAGCCCUCAGAGAACUGAGGAUGAAGGGCUGGUUCUAAGAAUGCUUGGCAGCUGUCCUGUCUUCACUGAAGGGUUGUGGUGCGGGGGCCCCACAUCUGGGUUCCUAUUCCGGCUCUGUCGUCUGACUAGAUAACUCACUAUUGAACUUGAGCAAGACACAUGCCUGUAUAAAAACCCUUAAACUGG